UUAGUCCCAAGGAGCUCUGGAGAUACUGGU
rnacentral:piRNA from 1 species